rnacentral:rRNA from 1 species
CAGCAGCCGCGGGAAAACGUAGGUGGCGAGCGUUGUCCGGAUUUAUUGGGCGUAAAGGGAGUGUAGGCGGUCUUUUAAGUCUGAUGUGAAAGCCCACGGCUCAACCGUGGAGGGUCAUUGGAAACUGGGAGACUUGAGUGCAGAAGAGGAGAGCGGAAUUCCAUGUGUAGCGGUGAAAUGCGUAGAUAUAUGGAGGAACACCAGUGGCGAAGGCGGCUCUCUGGUCUGUAACUGACGCUGAGGCUCGAAAGCUAGGGGAGCAAACAGGAUUAGAGACCCCAGUAGUCCCUGUCUCUUAUAC